CUUCCGUAGGGUGACCUGCGGAAGGAUCAUUACCGAGUGCGGGUCUUUAUGGCCCAACCUCCCACCCGUGACUAUUGUACCUUGUUGCUUCGGCGGGCCCGCCAGCGUUGCUGGCCGCCGGGGGGCGACUCGCCCCCGGGCCCGUGCCCGCCGGAGACCCCAACAUGAACCCUGUUCUGAAAGCUUGCAGUCUGAGUGUGAUUCUUUGCAAUCAGUUAAAACUUUCAACAAUGGAUCUCUUGGUUCCGGCAUCGAUGAAGAACGCAGCGAAAUGCGAUAACUAAUGUGAAUUGCAGAAUUCAGUGAAUCAUCGAGUCUUUGAACGCACAUUGCGCCCCCUGGUAUUCCGGGGGGCAUGCCUGUCCGAGCGUCAUUGCUGCCCUCAAGCCCGGCUUGUGUGUUGGGCCCUCGUCCCCCGGCUCCCGGGGGACGGGCCCGAAAGGCAGCGGCGGCACCGCGUCCGGUCCUCGAGCGUAUGGGGCUUCGUCUUCCGCUCCGUAGGCCCGGCCGGCGCCCGCCGACGCAUUUAUUUGCAACUUGUUUUUUUCCAGGUUGACCUCGGAUCAGGUAGGGAUACCCGCUGAACUUAAGCAUAUCAAAAGCCGGAGAGAA
rnacentral:rRNA from 1 species